rnacentral:tRNA from 1 species
GGGGAUGUAGCUCAGUGGUAAAGUGCUUGCCUAGCAUGCAUGAGGCCCUUGGUUCAACCCCCAACACCACCA